ACCGGGCGCGGUGGCGCGCGCCUGUAGUCCCAGCUACUCGGGAGGCUGAGGCAGGAGGAUCGCUUGAGCCCAGGAGUUCUGGGCUGUAGUGCGCUAUGCCGAUCAGGUGUCCUCACCAAGUUCGGCAUCAAUAUGGUGACCUCCAGGGAGAGGGGGACCACCAGGUUGCCUAAGGAGGGGUGAACCGGCCCAGGUCGGAAACUGAGCAGGUCAAGAAUAGAACACAUAGAGAGCUUUGAACACUGGAAAUUAUUUUUCUGCAACCUUCAUAUGAUACCUUGCCCAAAACUUGAGGCUAUCCCCAGCCUU
rnacentral:SRP_RNA from 1 species